AAUGUCAUAUAAUAAAAAACCAGCCGACGGCAACGGCACGGCACACCGCAUCGGUUGACUCGUUAAUUUGUGCUUAUUUAUUUUAAGACUCUUACUAACUGAACGUAUACACAAAUACAUAAUGAUUCUCUACAAGAUUUCAAACGUAUUAGCGUUAUCAAUAAUGUCGAUUCUUCUUAUAAUUCAAGUAACAGAAGGUUCUAAAGCAGAGUUUGUUACGUGCGGCACCAUACUAAAAAUAAUGAAUGUGGAUUUACGUCUGAGGCUGCAUUCGCAUGAUGUGAAGUACGGCUCGGGUUCCGGCCAGCAAUCCGUCACCGCUGUCGACGCCGCGGACGACUACAAUAGUCAUUGGCUGGUUCGCGCUCCCAUGGGCGAAACAUGUAAAAGAGGAGAGCCUAUUAAGUGCAACUCCAACAUCCGUCUCCAUCAUGUAUCCACUAAGAAGAAUCUCCACUCCCACUAUUUCUCAUCUCCAUUGUCUGCCAACCAAGAGGUGUCUUGCUAUGGUGAUGAUGGAGGUGAAGGAGACAGUGGCGAUCACUGGACUGUGGUUUGCAACAACGACUACUGGAGAAGAGACUCCCCAAUUAAGUUGAGACAUGUUGACACUGCUGCGUUUUUGGCUGGCUCAGGACGCACAUUUGGUCGACCUAUCAGUGGACAGGGCGAGAUAGUGGGUGUCACCUCACAGUAUGGGGCUUACACUGACUGGCAAGCUAAAGAGGGCUUGUUUGUUCAUCCUAGUGACCCACUACCCAUGCACCAUGCAAUCCACACAGAAUUAUAAUGUAAUGCCCAGUCUUAUUUACCUUUUUGUAUGAUUGACUAAAUGUCAACAUUGUUACCCUCUUCUAAUUUAUAAAUCAUGUAUUAGUUUAUCCUCCUCCUCCAAAACUGAAAAAAAAAAGUUAAAUUAAAGUACCUUAAAUAACUAUAAUUAUGCAGAGAUUUCUGCUAUAACUAUCAGUCAGUUCAGUCCUUGACUAACAAUGAAAAAAAUGAAAUGAAAUGAAAUGAAAAUGAAAAUGAAAAUAUUUAAUUCAGACACCAAGUAUCCAUAUUUUUGUCUACAAGACUGUGUUAGUAAAAUAACAAGAAAAAUCUUAAAAAUAAAGUUAACAUUAAUGUUAGUGGAACACAUAAUGCUCAUUGGAUCUAACAUGCAUUGUCAUCCAGUGAGUUAUAAGAGGGCUAUCCACCCUUUCCGCAAUCACCCUCAGGAGAGUGUUGGUGCUGCCCCGCACGCGGUCCCACAGGGACGCCACCCUCUUACGCAGCACUGCGUGGAAACCGUCUGUGCUCCACUCAGCGAACAUUGCUGACGCGCUGCAGCGCCAGGGCAGCCCCAAUAAACCCCUGAAAGCGUUGUUGUACUGGACACGCAGAGCACUAAAGGUUUUUUGGGUGUAGUUGCUCCACAGGUUGCACGUGUACAGGUUUUGGCAGUAGGUUUUAAAUAAUGUAAUUUUUACCUCACGGGAACAGCGAGCAAACCUGCGUGACAACAUGUUACCCCUAACCGAUAGUGCUCUGCGUUCCCUCUCCAGGUCUUCAUUAUCUUUUAGAGUGUCUGUGACCCAAUGGCCCAAAUAUUUAAAUUUAGUAACUGUCUGAAGAGGAGAACCGUCUAGGUUAAUAGGUGGUAUAGAAUACGUUUUAGUACCAGACUUAAAGACUAAGAUCUCACUCUUCUUGACAUUAUAUUUGAGCCCGUGGGCCACAGAGUAUCUCUCACAUAUACCCAGCAAGACUUUUAAUACUGUACAAUACUGUAGACAUGUUUUUUGUGUUUUCAAUCGUUGAGAGAUGUUAAGCAUUCACACCAUGUUUUUAUUGAAUUCCGUUGGAGGCACGUCUACACUGGCCAUAUUGUGCGUGAGGAAGUUGCUUCGUGCGUAUGCUCUCUCUGUGUAGACCCGGCUAUUAAAUGUUGCAUAUAGCAUUGUUGUUACAUGGGCAUUACAUUUAACUCAACCAAUCUUUUGUAAAUUGUGACAUAUCAAUGUCAGUUCGAAUCGAACAUUGGUCAUCCGAGAUAGUAUUUGCGGUUCGUACUAAUCACUAAUCAAAAUGCAAACAGGCCCUAAGGCAAUUAUGUGUACACGCUUGUAGGGGCCUUUUCAGAUAAAAGUAAAUUAUUAAUUAUCUCCAAAAUAGAGUUAAUUAGAAUACCAGUGACCUCGAAAAAGUUACUUAAUUUAAGCUCGGGAAUGCGCCCUUGAAGUUAACGGAAAUUAAAAAAAAAAACAGUGUAUAUUCGACUUCUGUUGACAUUGCUUGAACCAAACAUGUUAAGAACCUCAACAGUUUGUCCAUAUAACACGGAAAUACCUAAUCAUUUGUCUAUUAAAUCAGACAUACGUUUUUACCUAGUGCUACAGAGAUAGUUCCAAAGUGCAUUAGAUAGAAAUAAUAUAAAUGUAACCUUCAUUGGUGUCAAUCAGGUCAAGCAGGCAGUAAUAAGCUGUAUCCCCAGGCCAGUAUGAAGCGAAGUUGCAUCCUCAGACAACAGCAGUGCAGCAGAUAAGUUAAUAACAUUAUAGCUGUAAUUCAAAUAUUAUUGUUAUGCUGUAGUCUACUCUGGUACCAACAUGAGGUACACAUUCACGCCUGUUAAACCGGUGUAUUCCCAUUUGUCGGCGACCGUCUGACCGCCGCCAUACAGGCACCUACCUGGGCCCGAUGGGGACACAUGGGAAUACACCACUUGGAAAGGAGUUUUAACUGAGGUACAACAACAAGAAACAACAACAACAAAUUGUUUAUUUGACAAAUAUAAGUUUAAACAGUGUUACAUGUUAAACUGACCUCCACACUAGGCAUAAUAGGAUAGGCUAUUUAGGUAUGUAAAGAGUUCUUGUAGGAAAGCAUGUUAAUAAUACUACGCAAGAAUUCGGUCCUGGGUAGUUUUUAACCUGGAUAAAAUGCCUGUCACAAGAAUAGAAUUCCUAUUUCUUCUAAUUUCAAGCUCAUUCCAAAAUAAUCGGUAACAUAAGGUUUAUGUGAUACUAAUUACUAGGGCUCGGUACCGGUAUUGAAAUACCCUAUCUUUCCAAAACAUACAUUCUCCUUACCGGUAAGAAGAGCGAACGAAAUUUUAUAGUUCGCGGAUAACGGUAACGGUAUUUAAUACUGGUUAAUCUCGGCUUCCGGAGACGCUCGGUCUAACUCGUCUUCAUACGUGAAAGAAAUAGCAAUUCUCGUUCUAUUUUGCGUUGAUAAUAUGUUCAAUUUAACCGGUUAAUUUCGUUCCACCAAAACUGGUAUCACAAUAGAAUAGUUCUUUAACCGGUAACCGCAAAUUUUUCGUUCCCGGGUCACCCGGGUGAAUGACUAAAUACGGUUUCCAAGCCCUGCUUAUUUCUAAGUUGUGGUUAAUUGUAUGCUGUUUUAAUUUUAUAAAGACGUUUUGAUACGAAACUUAUUCCGAAAGUGAUGAAAUUGUAAUGAAAUAAACGAUAAAGGUAUGUAGUGAA